rnacentral:rRNA from 1 species
GACAGAGGGGGCAAGCGUUGUCCGGAAUCACUGGGCGUAAAGCGCACGCAGGCGGCACGGUAAGUGGGGUGUGAAAGCGGGCGGCUUAACCGCCCGAGGCCAUCUCAGACUGCCGCGCUCGAGCCCGGGAGAGGUCCCUCGAAUUGCCGGUGUAGUGGUGAAAUGCGUAGAGAUCGGCAGGAAGACCAAGGGGGAAGCCAGGGGACUGGCCCGGUGCUGACGCUCAGGUGCGAUAGCGUGGGGAGCGAACCGG